rnacentral:rRNA from 1 species
UACGGGAGGUGCAAGCGUUGUUCGGAGUGACUGGGCGUAAAGCGCACGUAGGCGGGUUUGUAAGUCGGAUGUGAAAUCCCUAGGCUUAACCUGGGAACUGCAUCCGAAACUACAAGUCUUGAAUAUCUCAGAGGUUGGUAGAAUUCCUGGUGUAGGAGUGAAAUCCGUAGAUAUCAGGAGGAAUACCGGAGGCGAAGGCGGCCAACUGGGAGAAUAUUGACGCUGAGGUGCGAAAGCGUGGGGAGCAAACAGG